CGGACGGGUGAGUAACGCGUGGGUAACCUGCCUCAUACAGGGGGAUAACAGUUAGAAAUGCUGCUAAUACCGCAUAAGACCACAGUACUGCAUGGUACAGUGGUAAAAACUCCGGUGGUAUGAGAUGGACCCGCGUCUGAUUAGGUAGUUGGUGAGGUAACGGCCCACCAAGCCGACGAUCAGUAGCCGACCUGAGAGGGUGACCGGCCACAUUGGGACUGAGACACGGCCCAG
rnacentral:rRNA from 1 species